GACGAACGCUGGCGGCGUGCUUAACACAUGCAAGUCGAACGGAAAGGCCCUGCUUUUGUGGGGUGCUCGAGUGGCGAACGGGUGAGUAACACGUGAGUAACCUGCCCUUGACUUUGGGAUAACUUCAGGAAACUGGGGCUAAUACCGGAUAGGAGCUCCUGCUGCAUGGUGGGGGUUGGAAAGUUUCGGCGGUUGGGGAUGGACUCGCGGCUUAUCAGCUUGUUGGUGGGGUAGUGGCUUACCAAGGCUUUGACGGGUAGCCGGCCUGGGAGGGUGACCGGCCACAUUGGGACUGAGAGACGGCCCAGACGCCUACGGGAGGCAGAAGUGGGGAAUAUUGCACAAUGGGCGGAAGCCUGAUGCAGCAACGCCGCGUGCGGGAUGACGGCCUUCGGGUUGUAAACCGCUUUCGCCUGUGACGAAGCGUGAGUGACGGUAAUGGGUAAAGAAGCACCGGCUAACUACGU
rnacentral:rRNA from 1 species